rnacentral:rRNA from 1 species
AGCGAACGCUGGCGGCAGGCCUAACACAUGCAAGUCGAACGAAGCCUUCGGGCUUAGUGGCGGACGGGUGAGUAACACGUGGGAACGUACCUUUUGGUUCGGAAUAACGCAGAGAAAUUUGCGCUAAUACCGAAUGAGCCCUUAGGGGGAAAGAUUUAUCGCCGAAAGAUCGGCCCGCGUUGGAUUAGGUAGUUGGUGUGGUAAAGGCGCACCAAGCCUACGAUCCAUAGCUGGUCUGAGAGGAUGAUCAGCCACACUGGGACUGAGACACGGCCCAGACUCCUACGGGAGGCAGCAGUGGGGAAUCUUGCGCAAUGGGCGAAAGCCUGACGCAGCCAUGCCGCGUGAAUGAUGAAGGUCUUAGGAUUGUAAAAUUCUUUUACCAGGGACGAUAAUGACGGUAUCCGGAGAAGAAGCCCCGGCUAACUUCGUGCCAGCCGCCGCCGUAACAC